ACGUACGCUGGCGGCACGCCUAACACAUGCAAGUCGAACGAAGUAGCAAUACUUAGUGGCAGACGGGUGAGUAACAUGUAGGUAUCUGCCCUUUGGCCUGGAAUAACACGAGGAAACUUGUGCUAAUACCGGAUAAGUCUUUACGGAGAAAGCUUUAUGCACCAUUGGAUGAGCCUGCACUUGAUUAGUUUGUUGGUGGGGUAAUGGCCUACCAAGACUGUGAUCAAUAGCUGAUUUGAGAGGAUGAUCAGCCACAUUGGGACUGAGACACGGCCCAAACUCCUACGGGAGGCAGCAGUGGGGAAUCUUGCACAAUGGAGGAAACUCUGAUGCAGCGAUGCCGCGUGAGUGAAGAAGGCCCUUGGGUUGUAAAGCUCUUUCGUCGGGGAAGAAAAUGACUGUACCCGAAUAAGAAGGUCCGGCUAACUUCGUGCCAGCAGCCGCGGUAAUACGAAGGGACCUAGCGUAGUUCGGAAUUACUGGGCUUAAAGAGUUCGUAGGUGGUUGAAAAAGUUAGUGGUGAAAUCCCAGAGCUUAACUCUGGAACUGCCAUUAAAACUUUUCAGCUAGAGUAUGAUAGAGGAAAGCAGAAUUUCUAGUGUAGAGGUGAAAUUCGUAGAUAUUAGAAAGAAUACCAAUUGCGAAGGCAGCUUCUGGAUCAUAACUGACACUGA
rnacentral:rRNA from 1 species